AUGUAUGGCGUGGUGAACAAUUGUUGCAUUCAUGACACAAUUCUUGAUUUCAUCAUAUUCAAGUCCAUACAAGAGAACUUUGUUACUUUACUUGGUGUUCCCAUUCUAACAAUUGGGAAACAAAGUAAAGUUGUUCGUCGACUCUAUCUACAAGGUGUCAAGGAAGGAAAUUCAGCGGUAGUAAACCUCUUGUUUUCCCAUGUCAGAUCAAUUAUUGUGGUUAGAGGUCUGUUGGAAAUCCCUUUGGAGGAGUUUAGACAUCUGCGUGUUCUCAACUUGAAGGAUUGCUCCGAAUUGGAAGAUCAUCAUCUUGAAAAUAUAGUGAGGUUGUUCCAGCUGAAGUACCUGAAACUCGAAGGUACAAGAAUAAGCAAGCUCUCAGAACAAAUUGGUCGUUUAGGAUGCUUAGAGGUGCUGAACCUAAGAGGGGCUUCUAUAAAGGAAUUACAUGCAUCUAUUGUGAAUCUCAAAAAAUUGAUGCAUCUACUUGUUGAUUAUGAUGUUAAUUUUCCUGAUGGGAUUGCAAAGAUGCAAGCACUAGAGACGUUGAAAACUGUCGGUGCCUCCAUUCAGCCAUUAGACUUCCUGUGCGGCCUUGGUCAGCUAAUGAAUUUGAGGAAUCUGCGGAUUGACCAUGACUUCGAAUUUGAUUCUGACACUGUGGAUACAAAUAUGGUUGGGGAGGAGCACAACAAAGCUAUUGUCUCCUCCCUGUGUAAGCUAGGCACCCAUAAUCUCCACUCCCUGAAUAUUGGGUUUGGGCGCAGCCUCUUACAUGAGGAAUCUUUGUGCCUGCCUACCCUCGAGGACCUUUCUAUCUGUUUUUCGGCCUUCCCACAGGUUCCGACAUGGGUGGGCUCCCUAAGAAACCUCCAACUGCUAUGCCUUCGUGUGGAGGGGCUCAAGCAGGACGACCUCUCCACCCUUGGGCUUUACCCAGUCUGCACGUUCUGUAUCUGCUUGGAGAAAUAG
rnacentral:rRNA from 1 species